CUAUGAUGCAGUCGAGCGACGCAUACUGGAGGGGUAACCGACCGGGAUGAAGGAGGGGGGAACGGGGGAGAGGGCGUGAGUAACCUACGCCGAAGACCGGGAUACCCAGGGAAAGAGGGGGUAAUACCGGAUACUCUCGGACCUUCGCAUGGAGGACCGAGGAAAGCUUUAGCGCUUCGGGAUGGGCUCUCGGCCUAUCAGCUAGUUGGUGGGGUAACGGGCCACCAAGGCUUUGACGGGUAGCUGGUCUGAGAGGACGAUCAGCCACACUGGGACUGAGACACGGCCCACACUCCUACGGGAGGCAGCAGCAGGGAAUCUUGCGCAAUGGGCGAAAGCCUGACGCAGCAACGCCGCGUGGGGGAUGAAGGCCUUCGGGUUGUAAACCCCUUUCAGGAGGGAAGAAAAUGACGGUACCUCCAGAAAAAGCCCCGGCCAAUUACGUGCCAGCAGCCGCGGUAAUA
rnacentral:rRNA from 1 species